AUUGAACGCUGGCGGCCGGCCUAACACAUGCAAGUCGAGCGGAGCGGCGGACGGGUGAGUAAUGCCUAGGAAUCUGCCUGGUAGUGGGGGAUACCGUCCGGAAACGGGCGCUAAUACCGCAUACUCUCAGAUCAGCCUAGGUCGGAUGAGGUAGUUGGUGGGGUAAAGGCCUACCACAGCGACGAUGCGUAACUGGUAGGAGAGGAUGAUCCGUCACACUGGAACUGAGACAAGGUCCAGACUCCUACGGGAGGCAGCAGUGGGGAAGAUGGGACAAUGGCCGAAAGCCUGUUCCAGCCAUGCCGCGUGUGUGAAGAAGGUCUUCGGAUUGUAAAGCACUUUAAGUUGGGAGGCGUUACCAACAGAAUAAGCACCGGCUAACUGCGUGCCAGCAGCCGCGGUAAUUC
rnacentral:rRNA from 1 species